rnacentral:rRNA from 1 species
UACGUAGGGUGCAAGCGUUGUCCGGAAUUAUUGGGCGUAAAGAGCUCGUAGGCGGUCUGUCGCGUCGGCUGUGAAAUCCCGAGGCUCAACCUCGGGUCUGCAGUCGAUACGGGCAAACUAGAGUAUUGCAGGGGAGACUGGAAUUCCUGGUGUAGCGGUGAAAUGCGCAGAUAUCAGGAGGAACACCGGUGGCGAAGGCGGGUCUCUGGGCAGUAGCUGACGCUGAAGCGCGACAGCGUGGGGAGCAAACAGG